GAUGAAGAACGCAGCGAAAUGCGAUAAGUAAUGUGAAUUGCAGAAUUCAGUGAAUCAUCGAAUCUUUGAACGCACAUUGCGCCCCCCAGUAUUCUGGCGGGCAUGCCUGUUCGAGCGUCAUUUCAACCAUCAAGCCCUGCUUGUGUUGGGGUCCUGCGGCUGCCCGCAGGCCCUGAAAACCAGUGGCGGGCUCGCUAGUCACACCGAGCGCAGUAGCACAUCUCGCUCAGGGCGUGCGGCGGGCUCCAGCCGUUAAAGCACCCACCUUUCGCAAGGUUGACCUCGGAUCAGGUAGGAAUACCCGCUGAACUUAAGCAUCUCAAUAAGCGGAGGA
rnacentral:misc_RNA from 1 species